GCUUAACACAUGCAAGUCGAGGGGCAGCAUUUCAUUUUGCUUGCAAACUGGAGAUGGCGACCGGCGCACGGGUGAGUAACACGUAUCCAACCUGCCGAUAACUCGGGGAUAGCCUUUCGAAAGAAAGAUUAAUACCCGAUGGUAUAAUCAGACCGCAUGGUCUUGUUAUUAAAGAAUUUCGGUUAUCGAUGGGGAUGCGUUCCAUUAGGCAGUUGGUGAGGUAACGGCUCACCAAACCUUCGAUGGAUAGGGGUUCUGAGAGGAAGGUCCCCCACAUUGGAACUGAGACACGGUCCAAACUCCUACGGGAGGCAGCAGUGAGGAAUAUUGGUCAAUGGGCGCAGGCCUGAACCAGCCAAGUAGCGUGAAGGAUGACUGCCCUAUGGGUUGUAAACUUCUUUUAUAUGGGAAUAAAGUUUUCCACGUGUGGAAUUUUGUAUGUACCAUAUGAAUAAGGAUCGGCUAACUCCGUGCCAGCAGCCGCGGUAAUACGGAGGAUCCGAGCGUUAUCCGGAUUUAUUGGGUUUAAAGGGAGCGUAGGUGGACAGUUAAGUCAGUUGUGAAAGUUUGCGGCUCAACCGUAAAAUUGCAGUUGAUACUGGCUGUCUUGAGUACAGUAGAGGUGGGCGGAAUUCGUGGUGUAGCGGUGAAAUGCUUAGAUAUCACGAAGAACUCCGAUUGCGAAGGCAGCUCACUGGACUGCAACUGACACUGAUGCUCGAAAGUGUGGGUAUCAAACAGGAUUAGAUACCCUGGUAGUCCACACAGUAAACGAUGAAUACUCGCUGUUUGCGAUAUACAGUAAGCGGCCAAGCGAAAGCAUUAAGUAUUCCACCUGGGGAGUACGCCGGCAACGGUGAAACUCAAAGGAAUUGACGGGGGCCCGCACAAGCGGAGGAACAUGUGGUUUAAUUCGAUGAUACGCGAGGAACCUUACCCGGGCUUAAAUUGCAUUUGAAUAUAUUGGAAACAGUAUAGCCGUAAGGCAAAUGUGAAGGUGCUGCAUGGUUGUCGUCAGCUCGUGCCGUGAGGUGUCGGCUUAAGUGCCAUAACGAGCGCAACCCUUAUCUUUAGUUACUAACAGGUCAUGCUGAGGACUCUAGAGAGACUGCCGUCGUAAGAUGUGAGGAAGGUGGGGAUGACGUCAAAUCAGCACGGCCCUUACGUCCGGGGCUACACACGUGUUACAAUGGGGGGUACAGAAGGCAGCUACCUGGUGACAGGAUGCUAAUCCCAAAAGCCUCUCUCAGUUCGGAUCGAAGUCUGCAACCCGACUUCGUGAAGCUGGAUUCGCUAGUAAUCGCGCAUCAGCCAUGGCGCGGUGAAUACGUUCCCGGGCCUUGUACACACCGCCCGUCAAGCCAUGAAAGCCGGGGGUACCUGAAGUACGUAACCGCAAGGAGCGUCCUAGGGUAAAACUGGUAAUUGGGGC
rnacentral:rRNA from 1 species